GACGAACGCUGGCGGCGUGCUUAACACAUGCAAGUCGAACGGAAAGGCCCUGCUUUUGUGUUGUGCUCGAUUGGCGAACGGGUGAGUAACACGUGAGUAACCUGCCCUUUACUUUGGGAUAACUUCAGGAAACUGGGUCUAAUACCGGAUAUGAGCUCCUGCUACAUGUUAUGGGUUGUAAAGUUUCGGCGGUUGGGGAUUGACUCGCGGCGUAUCAGCUUGUUGGUGGGGGAAUUGCUUACCAAGGCUUUGACGGGUAGCCGACCUGAGCGGGUGAUCGGCCACACUGGGACUGAGACACGGCCCAGAGGCCUACGGGAGGCGGCAGGAGGGAAACUGCGGCAAUGGGCGGAAGUCUGACCGAGCGACGCCGCGUGAGUGAAGACGGUUGUCGGAUCGGAAAACACGGUUGUUAGAGAAGAACAAGGACGUGAGUAACUGAACGCCCCCGGACGGGAUCUAAUCAGAAAGCCACGGCUAACUACGUG
rnacentral:rRNA from 1 species